GGUCCCAUAGCUCAGCCGGUUAGAGCGCUGUGCUAAUAAUUGCUUUGGGAUUUAGGUGUUAGGGUGUUAGAUUGGGAUUUUUUUGGUUAUUAUAAGAUUUUGAGGAAUUAUCGAGGUUUAGCUAAUAACGCAGAGGUCCUGAGUUCGAUCCUCAGUGGGACCA
rnacentral:tRNA from 1 species